CCGUAGGUGAACCUGCGGAAGGAUCAUUGUCGAAACCUGCAAAGCAGAACGACCCGCGAACCGUUGUCGAAAACAACGACGGGGCGGGGGCGAGCCGCGGGCCCGUCCCGCUCUCUCCCCCGGCCCCGUCCCACGAACAAAACCCCGGCGCGAGAUGCGCCAAGGAAUCAAAAACGAAAAGACAGGGAACGGGCGGCCCGUCGCGUGCCGGAAACGGAUCUCUCGCGGGCGGCCCUUUCUCUUUCGGAAACAAAACGACUCUCGGCAACGGAUAUCUCGGCUCUCGCAUCGAUGAAGAACGUAGCGAAAUGCGAUACUUGGUGUGAAUUGCAGAAUCCCGUGAACCAUCGAGUCUUUGAACGCAAGUUGCGCCCGAAGCCUUCGGGCCGAGGGCACGUCUGCCUGGGUGUCAUGCAUCGUCGCCCCCCCAUCCUUCCGUCUCCCCCGAGGGGGAAGGGGGUACGGGGCGGGCGGAGAUUGGUCUCCCGUGCGCUCCCGCUCGCGGUUGGCCGAAAUACGAGUUGUUGGCGGCCGAGAGCGCCACGGCAAGCGGUGGUUGUCAAAGACCUUCGGAGAUUGCCGUUGGCGAGGCCGUCACGAGGCUCCGGGACCCUGUUUUCUAACCACAGCGACCCCAGGUCAGGCGGGAUUACCCGCUGAGUUU
rnacentral:rRNA from 2 species